AUUGAACGCUGGCGGCAGGCCUAACACAUGCAAGUCGAGCGAGUGGCGGACGGGUGAGUAAUGUCUGGGGAACUGCCUGAUAGAGGGGGAUAACUACUGGAAACGGUGGCUAAUACCGCAUACUAUCGGAUGAACCCAUAUGGGAUUAGCUUGUAGGUGGGGUAACGGCUCACCUAGGCGACGAUCCCUAGCUGGUCUGAGAGGAUGACCAGCCACACUGGAACGGAGACACGGCCCAGACUCCUACGGGAGGCAGCAGUGGGGAAUAUUGCACAAUGGGCGCAAGCCUGAGGCAGCCAUGCCGCGUGUAUGAAGAAGGCCUUAGGGUUGUAAAGUACUUUCAGCGGGGAGGCGUUACCCGCAGAAGAAGCACCGGCUAACUCCGUGCCAGCAGCCGCGGUAAUAC
rnacentral:rRNA from 1 species